rnacentral:ribozyme from 1 species
UUUUUUUUUUUUUUUUUUUUUUUUUUUUUUUUUCGGA